AAUAUGAGCAAUCUAGAAAUAGUAGCAACUGGUUAAUCAAUACGUUCAUCUUAUUGGCAGCAAAAGCAUUAUCCUACCGAGUGUGAGUGUUAUGUUAGCUUGAUCCUCGAAAUAAUAAGUUACUGUUACGAUGCCUAGGAAAGUUAUAGCAAUAAGCGUGUUAGCCUACAGCAGCUAUGUAUUGUGCAGGAUGUAGCUACCUCUGAUGUUAUGUUUUUUCAAAAUAUAAAAAAAUUGUAAGAUGCAAAAGUACGGUAGAUCGAUAGGGUAGAUAUGUUCUAAUGUAGGUUAAUAUAUAUAUAUAGUCUAAUAUUAAGUUGAGCUCUAAAUACACAUUAUGGUUAAUGGUCACAGUACUAGCCCAUGUCUCAAAUGUUAGAAAUGUAAAAGGAACAUAUCGAUAGCUGUCAGUAUUUUUGCUCACUUCGCAGAGUUUGAAGGUUGCUAGUUAGCUCAGCAAUUACCUGGGCCACGUAUUUGUUUUUAAACCUGUUGUACUAGAGAGGAAGCAUGGAUGUGGUCCGGUUGUUUACCUCUCUCAUAGCUGCGCAUCGCCAGCAGCAGCAGACCUUAGCUCUGCAGGGAGAGAUUCAGGCUGAGAUUCUGGCACAACUCCUUGAGCAGGAGGAUGUUAACAGCAGGACUCAGUCCAAUAAGGAUGUCAUUGAGGAUGCAGAGGCUCACUUAAUUCUUCUGGAGGAAGUCCUCAAAAGUGUUAAGCUAUCGAACGUAAAAUGUAGACUAGCGGGUCUCCUGGGUGAGGAGAGCCUCAGGGCAGAGGAGCCCGACUAUGAGGUGCUGAAAGCCGGUUUGAUGGACCAUGCGAGGGAGGCAGAUAUUCAGGUGCAGCAAGACUUCAGCUCUGUGAGGUUUGACCCCCAGAAGGGGCCUAGGGAGCUUGGACAGGGGCUGGAGUGUGCAGCCCAGCGCUGGCUUCGGCCUGAAAAGAGAACGGCCAUGGAAGUGGUCAGGUGUGUCACCCUGCAAAGAUUUGUCUCACUUUUGCCUGAAGCUGUUGCAGCCCAUGUGCUGAAACAGGGCCCUCGGGACAUGGAGCAUGCAGUGUGCAUGGCUGAGGAAUACAUACAUGCCCUGACAGAGGAAGGAAGUAGGGUGAUGGACAGCCACACUCAUACUGUGGGAUAUCCUUCCAACCAGCCAGCUAAGGAACAGGAACAAGGUGGUGCAAAUCAUCUACAUUUUGAGGAGAUGGUAGGAAGAGACAAGGUGGUUCUUAUUGAGGGCAGUUUUGUAAAGGAGGAGGUAGACGACUGUUUAGUAGCGGAUGUCAGUGGGACGGAGAUAGACAGUAGUGGGUUGUACUGUGAGGGAAGACAUGCAUCGGGAGCUGAUGAUAAUGCUGCCAACAUUGAGAGGUUUCAGCUGAGAAACAUGACAAAUAUGGUGCCUCCGUCUGACACUACCAAGAGAGACGUGUCUGCUUCCGAGGAGGGUGAGGCUGUGUCUUUAAUACCCUCUUAUCUGCAGAGCGACAAGCAGCCAUGUCUAGACAGUGGCAGCAACUACAGCAGGGCCAGCCAUUCACAAAGCUACAACGGCAGAGCCUUUAAGUCGUUUUGCUGCCUUGACUGUGACCAGAGAUUUGAGUCUCAGAAGGACCUGACCCAGCAUCGUAGGAGUCAUGCCAAGACUCAUUGCUGCCCUGAGUGUGGGAAGAACUUCCGGGACAGUUUUAAUCUGAAAUGUCACAUGAGGACACAUACAGGCGAGCGGCCCCACCAUUGUCACUAUUGUGGAAAAACGUUUGCUCAGGAGCACGGGCUUCUGCAGCACAUCAACAUCCAUACUGGAGCGAGGCCUUUCUGCUGUACUGUGUGUGGAAUGGGCUUUCGUCACAGCCGAACUCUCAAGAAACACAUUGUUCUUCACUCCCAAGACAGGCCUUUCCUCUGUGCCCAUUGUGGAGUGACAUUCAAACUUAAUGAUACAUUAAAGAGGCACCUGAAAACUCACACAGGAGUACAUGGUGUGAAUAAACAUUAGUGACAUAGAUUGCUUUCCCUAAUUCUUUCUUAGUAAGAACUGAGGAAAUGGCACAACGCUGUAACUUUAGCACGUAGCACUCGGCAAAUCGGGAGAAACAUUUAUUGUCUCACAAAGAUUCUUUACGAACCUUGAAGAACUCUUUUUUUAUUUUUUUUAUCUCCUUUCAAGAACUGCCAUGAAAGUGACACAAUGCCUGUGGGGUAACUUUGUAAACAUUCCCCGUGUGCUACUGGAAGGUUAAACAGUUCCGUGUUCCCCUUACGUUCACCAUCACUGUAUUAGCCUGUUAGCUAAAUCUUUAGCUUGGAAUUAUCGUCAUUUUGACGGUAUUUUAUAACUACCACUAAAUUCGGACCCUGCUACGUACCAUUUCUACAUUGGUGUUAGUGCUUAUAUGCAAGUUGGCCAGCAAGUUAGCCAGUUGCAAGGUUGAGAACGUCAAAUGGCUGACUGUAUAGUGGUGGCUAGCUAGUUGAUGUUAUUAGCUAGAUGUUGUAGCUAGCUGAUGUUAUUAGCCGUGUAUACGAGGUUGCGUGCAAUCUACACUUUUAAAUAUACUUUUUGUUUAACGUUAAAGCCAAUUGUAUUUACAAAUAGUUCAUAAUUCAUAUUAUUGUUCUUGUUGGAAUGCUGCUCUAAGCAAGAACACGUAGCUAGCUAAUACAUUAAUUGUGUUCAGCAAACCAUAGCAAUGGUCUCUGUGGAUGUUACAGAAUUUCUAGUGUCCUUGUUAGAUGUCCAUAAAUUGCAACUGCAGGCUCUCACUAAACAGGGAGAGAUCCAAGCCAAGGUCCUCAGACAGGUUAUAAAAGAUGGUUUAUCAAGAAGAAGCGACGUCCCUUCAUCUCGGGACACUAACAAGCAAGGCAAGAUGACCGUAAUGGAAGAAAAAGAGUCCGCGGAAUGGUGCGCAAGGUUGGCUGAGUUACUCCAAGCUGAGGUACAUAUCAAAUCGAAUUUUACUGGAUCUCAAAGGCUACUUCCUUCUGACUCUCAGCCCUUGCCUGUGGAAGACCAGGGCAGACGUGACUUCCUGUCUCUGAAGUAUGAUCCACAUAAGGGAGUUAGAGAGCUGGGCCUAAAGCUAGACUCUGCUGCCAAGCGCUGGCUGAGGCCCGACCUGAGAAGUGCUGCACAGGUAGAGCAGUGCGUUGCCAUGGAGCACUUCUUAUCCCUCCUGCCACAUGAAGCAGCUGUCUGGGUGCAGAAGCAGCACCCCAGGGACAUGGAGGAGGCCAUCAGCUUGGCAGAGCGUUGGAUUGGGUGCGGAGACUCCCUGAAUGUUGGCUCUAUGGAUACCCAGACUGACUCAGAGCAUGGUUCCCCCAACGUUCAGCAGCAAAGGAUUGACAAAACAAUGCAGAGGAUCGAUGAUGAGCCUGAUGCUUCAUCGGAGUCUUUUGACAGUCAAAUGGAGACUGUCAAGCUGGAGUCUGGCCAGCUGAGCCUGGAGGUCUCAGAGCUGGAGGCCCCCAGUCUGGAGGAGGAGCACGACGAGAGUUCCCCACAGGAAGUGGUCCCCUUUGUGUGUAAGCAGGAGGUAGAGGAACCAGACUUCACCCAGGAGAGCGUGUGGGCUCAGGAGAGGUCCCCGGCUGAAGCCUUCCACAUGUCUGUGGGCUCAUUAGCACAAGGGAGCAUGUCUGUAUCUGAUCUCCCACCAGAAUGCUGUUCUCUCAUCUCCACCUUGCCCACAACCUCCAGCCAGGCCUCUCCACAGUCACCCGCCAGU